CCUACAGGGUUCAACUCUACUGAGUCCUACUGCUCACUUAGAGAAGUCAUGGAGGUGGCAUCUGAGGCCUGACUCUGUUGGUUGACUUGUACAGGAGCUUUGUCAUUGCCAUUGUUGGUCCCGACAUCAAUCCCAGUGUGAAAAACGAUCAACGCCCACGCUGGGGAUUUCAGACAUGAGUCACCCCUGCUGCUGGGCUCCUGCUGAAGGAAGGAGACUUUGCUCGUGUCUUGCCUCACAUGAAGCUCACCAUGGCCAGAGGAAAUGUCUUUACAGGAGACCUGUGGUGUCUGCAGUGGCUGACUUGUCUGGGGCAUCUCGUGGCUGUGCAUGCAACAAGGAGGAGUGUUGGAGGGGGUGAGCCCGCUCCACACAGUGUCGAUCCUCUGGUACAUGCAUACCGUGUAACGCAGGGGUUUGGUUUUGGUGUAACUGCCGCUCGAGGCAGUUUUUCUGCAGUGCAAUGAUAAUAGGACUGACUAAAACUGUAGCUAAAAUACCCAGCCCCAACGUUUUGCCAUCACAAAAUGUUGGGCUGCAGACAGCAGGCUUUCUGAAGCCUCUGCCUGGGCUGGGCUGCGCAGUUGUUCAUUUUCUGCAUUGAAAACCGGUGGUGAGAUAGGGAGUGGGGACAAUGUGAGCUGAAAUCCUGGACAAACGCAAAGCCCUGAGCCUUGAACCCUUGAAAAGUUUUCAUUAAAAAGUCAGUGACCUGUUAAAGGGACAUGUUUGGGUCUGGCACUGGGUACCAUUGGGUGGGUUUGGGUGUGCGGAUGCAGAUCCUUGAGUCCCAGCCCUGUCUUUUCAGAAGAUUUUAAAAAGGAAAUUGGGUUUCUCUCAGCAGUAGCAUCACUUGGAGUCUGAAACAGGCUGUGUGAGGCUCGUUUUGAUUCGCCCCAGCUGUUGGCAAUGGCUUGUUCCUUUUUGCUUCUCCUUCUGCAAGGCUUCCCCCAAAUGGGCAGUUAAUUAGAUGCACAUGGGGCAAGCAGACAGCUUUCACCAGUGCCAUCACCAGCCCUUGAAUACUUAAACCAUGCUGUGAGCCAGCAUGGGGUCUGCAUCCCUCCCUGGACCACCUCUGGGACUCAUUCAGGUGCUAUUUUGGUGAUGGGAGCAAGCCAAAACUCCAUCCCUAGGAUGCUCUGGCUUGCAGCUUCUCUCCAUGCUGAACAUUUCCAUUCCCCAUGCUUGGCCCUGCAGUGUGCCUCUUGUCUCAGCAGGCUGUGGUGGCAGCAGUCAUGGCAAUAGAGGAGUUUGACACCAAAGAAAUGACAGGUGAGGAAAGGAUGGCCAACUUGGAGAUGGAUCGGUGGUCACCUGAAGACUCUUCCAGCUACAGUUGAUGCAGCUGCAGUUUUGGAGGCUAUCUGAGGGCACAUGAGUCCACGUUUUGGGGAUGGGAACGGUGGGACAGUCCCAGGUACUGCUCUGUAGGUACCAAAGCUGGAGCAGUGCUUGGUCAGGGGGCCACAUGAAUGUCUGUGCUCUGCACCAGGAUCCAGCCCCGUGCCUCGAGACUCAGCAGCAGCAGCAGUGGGGUGAGCACCAGUACUUUCCCACUUGCUCUUCCCUCUUCCCUGGGGAAAGCCCUGUUAAUCAACUCUCACCACCACGUGGAAAUGGGGAAGGGAAAACCCGCUCCCCUCCUCUCCUGGCCGUGAUGGGAAAGAGAAGCAGCAUUUACUUUCCACUGCCUUGUAGCUGGGAGGAGGAGGAGAAAGGAGGAUGUGGAAAGGAAGAAAGGAGAAGCUCGUGGCAUGGGAGGUCCCUGCUGAUGACCACACUGGGAUCCACUAAAACCUGAAAUUGGCACACGAGCAGCAGUCUGCAGUGUGGCUCCCCUACUUGGAGAAGACUUGGUUAUUCAGUCAUACAGGGCAAACCAAGAAGGCAACCCAGAGAAAAAUCAGUCCCAUCUGUGGUGGUUGUCACGGGUGCUGCUGGGUGCUACUUAUAACAUUUAGUUCAGUGGCCGGAGAAGGCCACUUGAACCACUGCUUUGGGAAAAAAAUGGCAUGAAGUUGUUUAAAAAAUAAAUACAUAGAAGGGGAAGUCCUGCUUUUUUUUUUUUUCUCUCCAUAAUUCUACCAUUCUCAUUUUAUCAGGCACUGAGAUUUCCUCCACACCUGAGCUGAAUGAGAACUGAAUGUGGCUGUUAAAAAGACAGGGAAGGGGAGAGCAGGACAGAGAUGGAGAAAAACAAACAAGCAAGCCAGACAUUUGGGACUUAAUAAUUUCCAACGAUGGAGAGUGUACGGCAUCGCUGGGGAAGCUUCUCAGGAGGAUGUGGGACAUUUGUCUCCAGAGAAAGAAGGGACGUAGCCUGCUAUACCGUAGGGCGACGUUGUCCCCCAUGCACCAGUAACACCCCAACUCAGUCCGUGAUGAUUUACUUGCUCUUCCACCUCAAUGUUUACUUCACGGCGAGUACAAGGGCCAUAAUACCCUGGCACUGACACACAUGGUUUCCAGAGGCCACUUUCUCUUUGCUGGGAGAAUGCAAGGAACCAAACCCCAGAGGAUGUUUCCCAGGGCAGGACAGAGCACGCUUCCAUGGGGCUGCAGAGGGGAGUGACAAGGUGCCAAAAUCCCACUGUCAGACAGAGCUGAAUGGGAGCAGAGGGCCAUGAAUGCCCUGUUCGUGUCUGACAGCAUCUGAGGAAGCCUCCAUAAAGUGUAACCCUUAAUAUCCAUCAUCUUGGGAGCCAGAAAAAGCUGACAGAGGAGGCGGGAUGUGCAUGGGAGAUGGAGGAGAACAUCCCCCCUGGGGGCUGGAUGUGAGUGGAGGGAGGCAGGAGAUGUGAGCGUAGACACCUGUGCACAAGCCUGGGCACCACAGUGUUACUGCUCACUGGUGUAUACAAGCUUGUUUUAGGAUGCUUCCUCCCUUUACAUGUUUCUUUUCUGCUUAGAGGGGAAGUUCUCAGCCCAUCCAUGUAGUCAGAAAGCUUUGCGCAGCUCUCCUCAGUGCAGGACAAGGAUGCUUGAUGCCAGGAAACCUGUGUUCCCCAGGAUUCAUCUGUCCUCUUGGUUGUCCCAUUGCCCGGUAGCCCAUCUUUUCCGGCUGCUGUGUCACAAUAAACCAUGUCUGGAGCACAGCGAGCAGCAGCAUCUCAGCCGUGUUUCGCAGCCGCUGGAAAAGGCACUGCUGGGAAGAGCUGCCAGCGCCUGCGUUUGGAUGCUCCCAUAUCCCAGUACAGAGCAGGCGUCCCUCAAAGGCCAGAAGUGACCUGGAUCCAGUGCAACACGUCUCCCUGAAGGAUGCUGCUGCAAAGUGGUGCUUCGUGAUGCAGUUGCUUCUCAGUGACAGGAAGGAGAUAGGCGUGAUAUAAUGCACAAGCUGCUCUUCAUCACUGUGAGCAUCAAUGUGGGAGGCUUGCUCUGCUGCGGGUGGGUUUGCCCCACUCCUCUGCUGACCCCCGGUGCUGCAGCAUUGUCCCAAUGGCUCUGGCCAAAAGUCACCAGAAGCUCUCCUAGCCAAUGGUGCUGGUGGUGGUGAAGGAGGCGAUGACCCGAACUGUUAAGUGCAUUAUUUUUUGGAACAGUGGAUGAGAAAAUAUUUGAGGAGGAAGAAACUAGUGUAGGGAGAAGAACCUGUAUUUGUCACUGUAUCAGGGCUGGGCUAGCAGGCUGAUGUGAGCUAGGGCUGUUUCAAGCCAGACUCUUUUAAUGUGGCAAAGGGUCUUCUGUAAAUGUGGAAGGGCCACGUAGGCCUGCUUGGAUUUAAUAAUCACCUGAAAGGAAUCAAGAGCACCUUUGCGAGCACCUCCACAAGCACCCAAUGCUUUUGUGAGCCUAUGGUUUAUCCUUGCAAGCAUGCACAUGGUUCUGAGUGUGCCAAAAUUUCAGCUCAUGUGGUGUCACAGAACAUUUUCUGCUUCAUUUUUCAUAGUGUUUGUAUGAAUUCCCUGUUUUUACCCUCAGGUGUUACUCAGUUAGAGGGGUGGACUGGCAGAGGAUAUUCAUCGUGGACCUGGACUGCUGUUUUAGAGACCUUGUGACUUGUUUGUUCAUACUUCUACGAGCCCAUGUCCCAUGUAUAUCUUCUCUAUGAGAAACCUGACAUCAGAUCCUAGCAUUGCUCCUCCAUUUCCACAAGCAGUUUCAUGGUUUGCAUGUUCAAGGCUGUGUUCUGCCUUUCUGAGUCUAUCAAUAUUCUCUGCUGGAACAAUCCUCUAACUCUGAGCCGACCACGAGAUGCUGUGUUCAGCACAAUGGGGUUUGCGCUUCAAAACCUCUCCUGCUGCCUCUUGGUGCUGCGUUGCUUUGUGAAUCAGUGGCUCACUUCUAGCGAUGAGGUUUCCCAUUCAUAGUCAAGAUGAUGUUUCAGGCACUAAGCAUAGCUGCCUUCUGAAGUCUCUCCUGCUCUUGUACCCUUUGUGACUGCGCAGCUUGUGCAUCCUCCUGUUUCUGAGUUUACAGAUUCUUGCAAAAAGCUUUUACUUCUUUUAAAUGAAAUAGCUCUUUGAAGAGCCAGGCGCUGCUAGUGUGUGUAUUUCUUUCCAUGCUUUAGACCGUCUUUCACACCAUUUCCUGUAAGUUCACUCUUAGUGCUUCUUGCUGGCAUCUCCCUGAAUUCUCAGCCUGUAUCCCCUUUCUGUGCACUUUGCUUCAAAGUAGUUCUUCCUGUAUUCAAGAAAAGACCCUAAAAAAAAACGAACUAACCAACCAACAACAAAAAAACAACCUCUCACAGCAGUCAGUGCAUUCCCGGGAUGUUUUGGCUCCAGUUGCUGCUGCGUGAGGUUCCCUCUCGGCUGGUUGCCCUUCCUCCCCACCGCUGGUUGCAUGGCUGCUCUUUGCCCUGUCUCCACCUCUGAUAGGAAAUCAGCCUGCUCUGCUGGCCGAUAAGGGGAGCCCUAUGGCAGAGCUUCUAAUGAAGACAAAUCGUCAUUAUAAUAACAGGUUUACAGGUAAAGUGGGUAAUCUGAGAGGGAGAAACCUAUCUUACUCUAUAGAGUUGGUAGCACCAACUGGCUGCAUCUGUAGCUCUUGCAGGCAAGAAUAAUCUGGUCUCCUAAGGCUACAGGUGACACUGACUAUAACCCACCUAAGGGGAUCACACUUUAAAAUCAAUCUUCUCUCCCUUUCCACAGACACCAGCUCAUUUUCAGGUCAAUCCCUUUAUUUUUAAGUUGCUAUUAAGUCUACCGCACUGACGUGGCAUUUCAAAGUAAAUUUAGUAGCAGAGGUUGAACAAUACUCACAGAUUAAUAAUUUAUUACUGAUGACUAAAUUACUACAAUCUUCCUGCCCUUUCCAGGAACACCAGUCCAAUCCAGGUUCACACUUCAGUUUUUAAGUAACUAUUAAGGCUUCA